AUUGCAUGAUAAGGACAUUCGAAGAUGUAGUCUUGAAAGUGCUCCUAAGCUUCUGGGACAGUCUUAUCAUGUUGCUGCUGAAAGCUUGAUAUCUUCACACGAAGAGU
rnacentral:snoRNA from 1 species